AACGAACGCUGGCGGCGUGGAUAAGACAUGCAAGUCGAACGGGAACUUCAGGCUGUAGCAAUACAGUUGAAGUUUUAGUGGCGAACGGGUGCGUAACACGUGGGCAAGUCUGCCGAGGAAAGUGGGGGAUAGCUCGCCGAAAGGCGAAUUAUACCGCAUAUGAGUCAGCUAAGACAUCUUAGCGACAUCAAAGCCGGGGCAACCUGGCGCUUUUUUGAGGAGCCCGCGGCCUAUCAGCUAGUUGGUGAGGUAACGGCUCACCAA
rnacentral:rRNA from 1 species